AACGAACGCUGGCGGCAGGCCUAACACAUGCAAGUCGAGCGAGGACUUCGGUUCUAGCGGCGGACGGGUGAGUAACGCGUGGGAAUGUGCCCUUCUCUACGGAAUAGCCCUGGGAAACUGGGAGUAAUACCGUAUACGCCCUAUUGGGGAAAGAUUUAUCGGAGAAGGAUCAGCCCGCGUUGGAUUAGGUAGUUGGUGGGGUAAUGGCCUACCAAGCCGACGAUCCAUAGUUGGUUUGAGAGGAUGAUCAGCCACACUGGGACUGAGACACGGCCCAGACUCCUACGGGAGGCAGCAGUGGGGAAUCUUAGACAAUGGGGGCAACCCUGAUCUAGCCAUGCCGCGUGAGUGAUGAAGGCCUUAGGGUUGUAAAGCUCUUUCAGCUGGGAAGAUAAUGACGGUACCAGCAGAAGAAGCCCCGGCUAACUCCGUG
rnacentral:rRNA from 1 species